UGUUCCUGUCUCGUUCCAUGUCCGUUCCGUAUUGAAUGUUUGACUCCCCGUACCUGCUUCGUCUCUCCAGCGUCAACUCAUGUGACCUACUCCAUUGUUUGUUGGUCAUACAAGUUUUUGUCCUCAGGCCUUUUUUCUUCUUCUCUGUUGCUCCAUAACCCAGAUAUCAGGCGUUACUGGAGAUGUGGCAGAUCCUCUCUCCGGUGACACGUUUCGGUGGUUGAAUGAAUCAUCUGAAAACCAAUCUUUCCUAUCAAGCUUAACCCCAGUCAGAUAGAGGUCACCAGAAGAUGCAGCAGGUCACCAGAAGAUGCAGGACCAGAACAGCCUGUUUACAUGGUGGACCAUCCUGGCCUACACCCUGUCUGCGGUCUAUUAAUUGCAGAAUGCCAUGAUUAUCUACAGGGCAGACCAUACUGUAGGUCACUGCAUCUCAGAGGCUUAACACACUAAGUAAUACUAAGUACUACUUGCUGUUGUAGGCCUCUGAAGGCGAUGAAGGCCCAUGGCGUAAUCUACGGAAUCAUCACAAAGUCUAUUUCAUCGUAAUGAGAAAUAGACUUUGUAAAGAUACUGGAGAUUAUUACUUAUUAAAAAUGUUCUAAUGAGUAAACACUCUUGAAUUAAACAUUCCGGAAUGUUUUCUGUUGUCGAAGGUAAAUAAAUAA